rnacentral:lncRNA from 1 species
GUAAUUUUCUUUUUCUUGCUCUUUAGGUUUGUGAUUGUUUAUCAUAACAAUAUUCAGGAAUUUUACUCAUCUGCAGAAGGGUUAUUGAAGCAAUUUGUGAGAAGAAUCAACUGUUGCAGAGUCCUCCCUAACAGGCCGUCUCCCUGGAAAUCAGCAGGCGUUUCCCUGGAAAUCAGCAGGCGUCUCCCUGGAAAUCAGCAGGCCUCUCCCUGGAAAUCAGCAGGCCUCUCCCUGGAAAUCAGCAUGCCAUCUACCUGGAAAUCAGCAGGCCAUCUCCCUGGUCAGCCAUCUUGGACCUCCUGCCUCUCAUCCUUCUUUACAACAGCUUAUCUGCUUAGUUUGAUGACUAUUUUUAUUUCUCUGUCACAAGAUGCUGUUAAAUAUUAGUAGUCAUUUGCAUGUAAGAUGUACUUACCUACAAUAAUAAAGUGAAAUUCAAUUUAUGAAGUACUGACA